rnacentral:lncRNA from 1 species
CGCGAACUCGGAUUCCACCUGAGGAUGUCAGAUGACAAAAACCUGUGUAGUUUCCAAGAUAGGAUUUUCCUGGCCUGGGAGUCCUUUGGCGGUGCUUGGUAGAACCUGAUAAUUUAACAGCGCCCAAGAGUGUUCUUUCACCUUAUGAACGUAUGUCCUACCUCCAGGUGCUGGGAGUGCUGUGAGCAGAGAGGAAAAACAGAAUCAAGCGGAGGGCAAUAGAAUUCCAGAGCUGAUACGUCUAAGCCACUGAGAUAUUGUUAAUUGGCGAAGACAGAUGCAGAGAGGAGCUCAGACAGAAGGAGCUGAGAUUUUCUAUUCCUCAUCUGAAGGUGCCUGGGUUCCAGGAGAUCCACCCCGGAAACCUGGCCAAUUAGCUGUCGAUGUCGCUCAAGAUCAAAACACCACCUGUGAGUUUUUAUAGUCUAGCAGACACUCAUAUUUUCUAAUUAUGAUCUGUUGUUGGAGGGUGAGAGUAAUAAACCCACAUGCAGCAGAGAGGGUUGGCUGUGG